CUGCUAUUUACAUCUGGUUCUCUCCCUGUCUCUUUCCGCCUGUAUCGUUCUCUCUUUCCGCCAUCUUCAUUUUUUCACUCGUUUAAUGACUCCCCGUAUUUUUCACUUGUUCUCAGGGUUACUCGAAGUGAGAACCAGUCAAUACAUUUAAGGCCUGAGUAGCUGAACUUGGAACAGAGCUGACUUGUACAUAUUUUCCAGUCUAGAUAUUUUAGCCUCGAAUUUUAAAUGCACUUUGUAUUUCAGACAGAUCUCACGUUAGUAAAUAACCCUGUAUGUGUCUCAUCUAUUUUUAUCUCCAUUGCUCUCUGCUGAUACAAGGAAACAGCAACUAGUUACAGUUACAGAGUGACACUGUGUUUAGGUGCUCUCGGUAUCUGCUUGAAUGAUUCCAGGUAUGGC